GAUGAACGCUGGCGGCGUGCCUAAUACAUGCAAGUCGAGCGAACAGACGAGGAGCUUUCUCCUCUGACGUUAGCGGCGGACGGGUGAGUAACACGUGGAUAACCUACCUAUAAGACUGGGAUAACUUCGGGAAACCGGAGCUAAUACCGGAUAAUAUAUUGAACCGCAUGGUUCAAUAGUGAAAGACGGUUUUGCUGUCACUUAUAGAUGGAUCCGCGCCGCAUUAGCUAGUUGGUAAGGUAACGGCUUACCAAGGCAACGAUGCGUAGCCGACCUGAGAGGGUGAUCGGCCACACUGGAACUGAGACACGGUCAAGACUCCUACGGGAGGCAGCAGUAGGGAAUCUUACGCAAUGGGCGAAAGCCUGACGGAGCAACGCCGCGUGAGUGAUGAAGGUCUUCGGAUCGUAAAACUCUGUUAUUAGGGAAGAACAAAUGUGUAAGUAACUAUGCACGUCUUGACGGUACCUAAUCAGAAAGCCACGGCUAACUACGUG
rnacentral:rRNA from 1 species